UUGCUCACUUCAGCAGCACAUAUACUAAAAUUGGAAAGAUACAGAGAUUAGCAUGGCCCCUGAGCAAGGAUAACAUGCAAAUUCGUGAAGCGUUCCAAUCUUUU